rnacentral:lncRNA from 10 species
GCUGAGCCAGGUUCCCUCACAGGGUUCCUCUCCUUUAGCCAGGGAGCUUCUUCCUCCAUCUUGUGUUUGCAAUUUGGAAGAGGGUGGCCAGCAUGGGCCUGACUGAGAGACUGACAUUUGUGCAAAGACUGAAGUAGCGUGAGCCCUGAGGGCAUCUGAGGGAAGGGAAUUCCAGAAAGAGGGAAUAGCAAGUUCAAGCAUUGGAGGCAGACGUGAGUCGGGCCAGGUGGCAAGUGUGCCUAGAAUAGAGUAAACAAAAGGGAGAGAAGCAAGAGGCAAAGACAGAGGGAAUGCACACUUUGUGUGGGAGUAAGGGAGGUGUGAACUGUGCUGAAAUAGUCAUACAUUUCCUUGGAAAUUCCACAUCCAGACACUGCAGUUUGUUUGCUCUGCUGUUUGUUGACACUGAUGUCCCAGUUCUACUAAUUGGCUUACCUGUUGGUUCCUGAGCCCCACUCCCCACCCUGCCCUCAGGUCUGGUGUUGGUGUCCCAACCUCAUUCCCUGUCUUGGUAACCAGCUCUGUAGCCUCGUCUCUCCCAGCUGCCACCUGGGAAUGGGGACCUGUCGUGGAAUCCUGGUCUGGGCUAGAGAGUGCUCCCAGUUCAAACCCUGCGGGGACUACAGGACCAUGAAGAGGAGAGACUGGAACAGGGAAUCCAGGAGCUCUUCCUUCAGCCCUGGUGCUAAGGCGGUCUUCCUGAUGUCUCCCAAACCACACACCUUUACCUCAGAUAGCAAUAUUACCCACCACAGCAAUGGGAUUCAGAACAUCAGUGAUGGAAGAGAAGGGCCACCUGAUUCUGUGUUCGCUUCACUGUGCUGCAUCUCCUCACCUCACCAAUCUAAGACAUAGUGGAAAAAAUACUCUGACCUGUACGAACCUCUGCUUCCUUGAAGUUUCUGCCAAUAAAAGGAUGGAUUGGCCACUCUUCUCCCACCUCCCCUGAGCUUGUCAUCUGCCUGGCUUCCCAGGCACUUGUGCAUUGAGGAUUGUUCCUGCCAGUUCUGCCUUUCACAGAUGUGGCUUUGGGGAAGGACCUGCAACAGUUCUCAGGGCAUGGGGGGAAAAGGUGGCAUUGAGCCAGGAUUUUUUUUCCUUCCAAAUACAGUGUUUACAAAGACAGCUGCAAAGCCCUCGCUUCUCCUCAACACAGAGCCUUACACUUACCACCUCUGUUCUCCUUAAAACUGGAAGAGGUUGCUCCCAGGGGAAUCAGCAAUUUUAGGUGGAUUUCUUUAAAGCCCCUAAAGCUUGCAGUAUGAAAAAAAAAAUGAGCCACUAAUGAAGUCGUUUCAAAUCUGAUGGCAGAGAGUGAGAAAGAAUGUAUCUCCUACUCCCUCUCCUUGUCAAGCCAGCCUCAAGAAAUGUCGAGUUCAUCUUAAAGGGACCUAAUGGAGAUGGAUUUAGAGCUGAAUUCCAAUGAUAUUGAAGAAGUUUGGUUGAGAGAGAAGUGAAUGCAAUCAUUACAGUAGUAGCCUGUGUUGAUUAAGCCGCUUUUGACCCUGUUAUCAAUUAAUUUUUAUAACAGUCCUAUGGGGUGAGCACAAUUGUUACUUCCAAUUUGCAGCAGUAUAAACUGAGGCAAGGGGUUGCUACGUAAGUUGCUUAGAGUUAUAACCUAAAAGACAGCAAAGACUCCUUCUAGCCUAACUGCAGGAUUAGUGCAUGCAACUUCUCCAAACCUCCCUACUACCCUGUCUCCGAUAUGUGAAGGGGCUGCCGAAGAAAUGAGCAAGCUUGGCUUUGUCUGUGUGUUCCCAUCAGAAAAUUUAAUUUUUCCCCGUAAGUUCCAAAAUUUUGUGAGCCUGCAGACAUUUUUGUAACCCCUGAAAUAUUCAUGAUCGUUCCUACACUUAAUGCAAGGGCUUGGUUUUCCUCAGUGUUGGUAGAGAGCAUAUUGGAUAGAAGAUAACUACCUAUAUGUGAUAUUUUAAACUUCUAGACACUGCAGCCCACUGAAAUGUAAGUUUCUUCAGGAAGGAAGUUUUUCUUAUUUGUCUUUGUGUUCCGAGUUUUCAUGGUGGUGUCUGGCAUGUAGCUGGUAUCUAUUAACUACAACUAACCCUUCCUUCCAAGUCACAUUUGAAUAAAAUGAACAAAAAUACAGACUGGAAGAGUUAAUAUUCCCUUUCCAAAGAACUAAGGGAAUAGUUACUCACUAGAAGAUAAUAUUACUUAUUAUCUCUUAUAUAAUCUUUUAAAUUCCUUUCACCCAGAAACUUUAAUUACCAAUGGGCAAAUGCUUCUCUAAUUAUUUGGACCUAAUUCCUAUGUCAUAGUCAAAUAAUUGGACUUGUAAAUUUUAACAAGAAUAACUACAAGCAAGUAAACAAACUAAAUAAUGCAAACAUUCAUAUUUCACAGACCUUCUUGGAUCAAAAAGGAAUAUUUUUGGUAACCGAUAAUUUUAGGGAACCGAUUAUAUUCUAUUCAUUGCAUUUUUCCC